rnacentral:tRNA from 1 species
GCUGGUGUAGCUCAGCAGGUAGAGCAACGCAUUCGUAAUGCGUAGGGCAUCGGUUCAAUUCCGGUCACCAGCU